rnacentral:rRNA from 1 species
AACAAAAUUUGUUAUUAAUUUAUUUUUAUAGAAAAAACUUUUGUUUAUUAUAAAAUAGAAAAAUUAAUUUUAAUAAUAGUAAAUUAGUAAAGUGAUUGAAUCAAUAAAUGUUAAAAAAAGAAAAAUUUAUUUUUUGUACCUUGUGCAUCAGGGCUGAUCAAUAAAAAUUAUUUAAAAUAAUAUUCUCGAAUUUUAAAGAGUUAAUUGAUUAUAAAUUAAACUGUAAAAUAAUUUUUUAUAAUAAUUAAUUAGUAGUGAAACGCUAUUCGAUUUUUAAUAUAUCUAGUUUUUUAAGAAAAGAAUUAAAUUCUAUUAUUUUUUAUUUAAAUUUUAAUUUAAAAAAUUUAAGUUUAAAUAUUAAAAAAUUGAAGGGAUGAUCUUUUAAUUUUAUAUUUAAAAAUUUUAAAAUUUAAUUUUUUGUAUAAUUUGAAUUGUUAAUCAUAAAUAAUUUUAUAGUUAGGAAUUUAUAAAUUAAAAUUUUAGUUUUUUUAGAUUUUUUAUUAAAAAGAAAUAUUUAAUUAAAAAAUUUUUGUUAUAAUGAUUAGAUUAGUAAUAUUUUUUUUAUUUUGUAAAAAAUUACCAAGGUUGGGAAAAGGAAUUCGGCAAAAAAAUUUUCUGCCUGUUUAUUAAAAACAUGUCCUUUUGAUAAUUAUUUAAGGUCUAAUCUGCUCAAUGAAUAAUUUUAAAUAGCUGCAGUAUUUUGACUGUACAAAGGUAGCAUAAUAAUUAGUUUCUUCAUUAGAAACUUGAAUGAAUGAUUUGACAAGAAAAUUUCUGUCUCUUUCUAAUUAUUUUAGAAUUUAACUUUUGAGUUAAAAGGCUCAAAUUUGUAUAAAAGACGAGAAGACCCCAUAGAGUUUUAUUUUUUAUUUUUCUUUAGUAUUAUUAUUAUUUUAAAAAAAUUAGUUGGGGUAACUUAAAGAUAAAAAAAAUUCUUUAAAUUAAAAAUCAUUGAUCUAUGAAUUUAAAAUCUAAUUUAUUAAAUUUAAAAAAAGUUACCUUGGGGAUAACAGCGUAAUUUCUUUUUAGAGUUCUUAUCAAUUAAGAAGAUUGCGACCUCGAUGUUGGAUUAAAAUAAAAUUUAGGUGUAGAAGCUUAAAUGUUAAGUCUGUUCGACUUUUAAAAUUUUACAUGAUCUGAGUUUAAACCGGUGUAAGCCAGGUUGGUUUCUAUCUUUAUUAAAUUGUAGUAUUUUAGUACGAAAGGACCAAAUACUAAAUAUAUUAUUUUAUUUUUGAUUA